GAUGAAGAACGCAGCGAAAUGCGAUAAGUAAUGUGAAUUGCAGAAUUCAGUGAAUCAUCGAAUCUUUGAACGCACAUUGCGCCCGCUAGUAUUCUGGCGGGCAUGCCUGUCCGAGCGUCAUUUCAACCCUCAAGCCCCCGGGCUUGGUGUUGGGGAUCGGCGAGCCUCCGCGCCCGCCGUCCCCUAAAUCUAGUGGCGGUCUCGCUGUAGCUUCCUCUGCGUAGUAGCACACCUCGCACUGGGAAACAGCGCGGCCACGCCGUUAAACCCCCAACUUCUGAACGUUUGACCUCGGAUCAGGUAGGAAUACCCGCUGAACUUAAGCAUAUCACUAAGCGAGGA
rnacentral:misc_RNA from 1 species